CGCGGGCGGGGCCGCCGCCCUCCGCGGAGGGGCGCCGCGCUGCCCCCCCUUCCCCUCAGGCGUUCGGACGUAAAUUACAUGGCACCGGGGCUAGAGGUAUCCGGGAGACAACUGGACCCCCUGGGGCACCGCACAACGUGAAACACGGGGCUUUUCUAGUCUGAAAAUGAGAAUGGUCACUUUGUCAGAGGUGUUCCCUCGAACCCCACCACGAAAACCCUCCUGAAAGUCCUGCUGGUGCUCAGCAAGGGCCUCCUGGUACUUCCGCUUCCCAGCAGCUCCAUCCUCAUCACAACCCAGGGCUGUGAGAUCAGAGCUGGACCUGCAGCUCCAGUUCCUGGCUGCUCUGGACCAUGCCAUGUCUGCAGGGCAACACUUCUGCAAAAACAUCAUCAUUCUCCCACCUUUCUAUGCUCGUCCCAGGGGAUCGGUGAUCAAAGCCAGGAGAGCAGACCAGGAGCUCCGAAGGGAUGUGGAACGUGGGUGAAGGAGCCGUGAGCCCUCGGCUCUCCCUGACAGGUCUGGGCACUCGGCACGUCAGGAUCGCUGGGUCUGCUGCCACACAGGGGUUCUGCCGCUGCUGUUAUUCCCUCAGCACCUGAAUGGCAGCUCUAAAAUCAAAUUACAUGAGUGCUACAGGCUGCAGUCCCUGGCUGAGCCCUGAAGUCAGACAAAUUGAAACAACAAAUAUGCCCGGAUAGCAGUUCCCUAAGAAAUGUCAUCCUUACGCUGCUCCGCUUUUCCUCCUAACGGAACCUGACGGGACUUAUCGACUGCCCGGUAUUCCUGCAACUGCAUCGGAAGUUAUUGAUUCUGAGAAAUAUGAAAUGUGUCUCAGAGGUCAGAAUGUGACUCUGUCCAAGUGAGACACAAAGGUGUUCGGAGAUGCUGAACGGAGCAGGGGGAGCAGCAGAAAACCACAGGCUGGGAGUUGACUCCAGCAGGGAUUGGUGGGGUUUGAACACCACUGCUCCAAGAUGAGGUGAAGGUGCUGAUCCCAGCUCCUUGUGACCAGGAACCACCACACAGUAAAUGUUGCCCAGGCUGUUGCUCCACCUGCUUCCCUGCCCACUAAUACACAUUUUUUGAGGGAUGCUCUUAGAAGGACCAGAAGUUGAAAUGCAUUUCUUCCUCCUCCCAUAGUGGAAGGCACAUGCUGGCAGGGGAAUCUGGGAGGAAAAUGCUCUUAUGCUAUACAGGCAAUGGACGUUUUGUGCACAAGCAAGAUGCCUUCACAUUCCCAAAGGAGUUCAGCUAAGAAGCAUCACUGCCAAAAACUGGAGAGAAUUUAGAUGCUUGGAACAAACUUACACUGCUGAAAGUGGGGAACUGGUAGAGAAAGAUGUUCAGGCUAUCAGAAGUUGUUAUCAGAAGUGCCCUUCGUUUCUGAAAGCACAGAAGUGUAGGUUUUCAACAAAAAUGAAUUUCUCAAAAAGACUGUCCUUCUGUGACCAAAAACCUUUGGUGAGGGCUGAGAAGAAAUUGAGGUUUAUGUCUGUAUCAUGUGGACAUUUAGAUUCCACGAAGCAAAGCAAUGGUAUUUUUCAGCCGUGAGCCUUCUGAGGCAGGUAACAAAUAACAGAGAUUUGACAGAGGGAGAAAAGCUUUCUCACAAAUCUCCUGUUUUCCCAGUCCCAGAGGGCUGCAAUCUGCCUCUGACCCCUCUUUCAGGCUGGCGUUUGCUCUGUGAUCUGUUGGGUUUGUGUUUUCAGACGGGAGUCCAGUGUUUUCCUGCCAACCUCCAGCAAUCACUAGCACUCAGCUGCUCCUUCUGGGGUGUCAUCGCGGUGUCCACCACUCCUGAGGCUGCCAGGAUAUUCUGGGAAGCACUGCCUUUGGAGAAAGCACAGGGGACCACAAAGCAUAUUCUGCCUCCAAUUUCAGGCAAAUGCAGCAGUGCCUGGGGUGUGGUGCCUGCAGAAGGCUCCUGAAGAAGCACCUGCUGUGCACAGGCUCCUGCUGUGGGAUGGGAGCAGUGGGAACUCAGACCCAAGAGCAUGUACCUCGCUGUGAGCAGUUUCCACACCAGGAAGAGGAAGAACUUGGUCUUGUUCCUGGCUACAGGUGGCUGAGACACGUGAGAGGUUUCACUAAUUCUCAGUCGAGCCAAGUGAAUGAUGCCUGUCCCGUUAGAAGUGACAAAGGUAUUGAUUAUUCAUUGAAAAUCUAAACCCCAAAGAUGUGACCAAAUGAUUUCACAAAAAAGGUCUGAUUUCUGCACCAAAGCAGGCAUUUCCAAGCAGUGACAACCCUUUUGCUGUACAGACAUUGCAGCGCUGAUGAAGCGUGAAAUACAUCCCGAGCACUGGUGCCCGUCCCCAGAGCACAAUGCGAGAACAACGAGGGCACUGAGAAUGGGUGAGAACGGGGCCGCUGCUCCUCCAGGGCCCGGGCUCUGCACUGCAGUCCCCACAUCCGUGGCGCUGAGAAGGAGAACCCGAGGCACGUAUUUCCUCCCCAGUGCUCGGGGGCCCUGAGCUCUGAGCUGCCGUCCCUGUGGGAAGCUCCCGCCUUCCCUUCCGUAAACGUUCCCCCCGCUGCCGCUGAAUCACCAAAUAAUCGGGAGACCCGUGGGAAGGGAAUUAAAGGGUGGUUAUCACGCUGCCGUGUUCUGCUCACUUUAUUUGUUUUAAAUGACCAUGAAAGCAAAGGGGGGGAAAAGAAAACACACAAGUGGAAACUUAAUUGAGCUGCUGAAAUGUCUUUAAAGGAGCAUUCUGGGCUGGAUUGCGAUGCCUCGGCUCCCACUGGUGGCAUUUGCUCACAUGAGUGGGCAGCUGAUGAGGCAGCUCGGGACCUUUCUCUGAGUGAUCUGUGUCUCCUGCUGCGUGUUUGGAGCAGAGGAUGGGCACAGACAUCCAGCUCUGGGGGCCUGGAGACACUGCACGUCCCAGAAAGGGGCAGGAUGGGAGCGGGCUGCAGGUACCCAGCAUUGCUUCGGGCUACACAGGUCAGAGUCCUUGUUUCACGGCAGGGUUUGCUACUCCGAGGGGAAUAUCCAUGUUGAGGUACAGCUUUUCCCUCCUGGAGCCAAAGACCAUCUGCCCUGGCUCCAUUUCUGGGCAGGAGGAAAGGCGAACCCGUUCUCAUCACAGGCACCAAAGUGCAGGCACGAGGUGACAAAACCACCUGAAGCCACAAAGUGGCCUUGGUUAGAUGCUGUCUCAGGGUGGAGGUUUGGGAAGGGCAUCCAGAGGGGCUGCAGAGCCCAUGGAGGAUUUAUGGGGCAGGAGAGUACAUCAAGGAGCUGGGCAGCAGCUGGUCCAGGACAGGAGCCCGAUCGGAGGGACAGGAAUGGUGCCACAGGAACAGGAGGGAACUUCCCAGCAGAAAAGGACCAAAAUACGGGGAGAAGACUCUGGCAGAGAAGAGGGAGGAACUGCCCUGACCAACUGGCUGGAGCUGGAAUGUAGGAGAGGGGGCAAAGAAAAGCCAAGAUGUGGAAAGGCAGGUCCCACAAUCCAGCACAAACCAAGCCACCCACACCUGAGGGAGAAGACAGGGCGGGACCAUGUGGGAAAAGGGGGCUCAGGGGAUCCAGUGUGGGAGCCCAGGGACCUGACAGGGAACCUGCUGGACCUGCUGGAGCAGCCACACUCCGGCUAAUCUCCGAGUGGAACAGAACUUGCCUCUGGCUUGUUACACCCCAUUUUAUUAUGAGUCCAAUAUGCACCCAAGUAAAU